UACGUAGGGCGCAAGCGUUAUCCGGAAUUAUUGGGCGUAAAGAGCUCGUAGGCGGUUUGUCGCGUCUGCUGUGAAAACUCGGGGCUUAACCCCGGGCCUGCAGUGGGUACGGGCAGACUAGAGUGCGGUAGGGGAGACUGGAAUUCCUGGUGUAGCGGUGAAAUGCGCAGAUAUCAGGAGGAACACCGGUGGCGAAGGCGGGUCUCUGGGCCGUAACUGACGCUGAGGAGCGAAAGCGUGGGGAGCAAACAGG
rnacentral:rRNA from 1 species